rnacentral:rRNA from 1 species
UCCGCAGGCGGAUUGGUAAGUAUCUUGUGAAAUACCAUGGCUCAACCAUGGAAUUGCUCGGUAAACUGCCAAUCUUGAACACGGUAGGGGCCAUCAGAACUCUAGGUGGAGCGGUGAAAUGCGUAGAUAUCUAGAGGAACGCCAGAGGCGAAGGCGGAUGGCUGGGCCGUUGUUGACGCUCAGGGACGAAAGCAUGGGUAGCGAACG